rnacentral:lncRNA from 1 species
UGGAAGUGACCAGGUUACAGACUUGUAAGCUUACUGAGUUAGAAGAGGCAUCUGAGGGUCCCUCAGCAACUGAAGGUGGUAGCAGAGAGUGGAGUCAAGUGCCCUGCAUGGCCCAGUCAGUCCAACAGUAGAUUGACCUGCUAGUCAAGCCUUUACAUCUUGGGAGCAGCCCGACCCAGAAGGGGAGCAGCUCAUCCCUCCCCAACACAAUGAAUUCCCUGAAUAGAGUUUAAUGGAUGUUCUAUAAAGGGAGAAAAAGACUCCUAAGGCUAGAGAUUCCAGGACUGAAGCCAAUUAGAUGUUCACAUUAAGUCUGGCACCAAUAUGGAACCUUAUCACCAGGAACUACAUCAUCCUGCAAGAUCACAUCAAUCUUAGUACUUCCCUCACCAAUAUACUCUGCCCAUCUGAUGGAGAAGGAGGUAGAGAGGAGAGGUUCUCCUUUUCAAGCUUCUUUUUAAUUUAUUGUUUCCCCCCCAUUAGAUUGUAAAUUCCUUGAGGGUAGAGACUGCCUUUCUUUUUUCAAAUCCCUAUCUCUACUGGUUAACUGCAAGCAAUUACUAGAUGUUUAUUGACUGCCUGUGUCAGAAUUUUAAAUUGUAAAAUUUGAAUUAAUUUAAAUUAAAUUUGAAUUCAUUUGAAAUUAAUUUGAAUUAAUUUAAAAUGUUUAAAAAUUGAAU